AGGGCAAGAUACAACGAAACAAACCAAAACAAACAAAGUAAAAACAAGGCUUUAGUCUAACAAAGACAACUAAUUUCGGCUUAGUUAAUUAUGGUUCAAACCCAUAAAGCCUUU
rnacentral:tRNA from 1 species